GCCAGACUCCUACGGGAGGCAGCAGUGGGGGAUAUUGCACAAUGGGGGAACCCUGAUGCAGCGACGCCGCGUGGGUGAAGAAGCGCCUCGGCGCGUAAAGCCCUGUCAGCAGGGAAGAAAAUGACGGUACCUGAAGAAGAAGCCCCGGCUAACUACGUGCCAGCAGCCGCGGUAAUACGUAGGUGGCAAGCGUUGUCCGGAUUUACUGGGUGUAAAGGGCGUGUAGCCGGGAAGGCAAGUCAGAUGUGAAAUCCGGAGGCUCAACCUCCGAAUUGCAUUUGAAACUGUUUUUCUUGAGUACUGGAGAGGCAGACGGAAUUCCUUGUGUAGCGGUGAAAUGCGUAGAUAUAAGGAGGAACACCAGUGGCGAAGGCGGUCUGCUGGACAGCAACUGACGGUGAGGCGCGAAAGCGUGGGGAGCAAACAGGAUUAGAUACCCGUGUAG
rnacentral:rRNA from 1 species